rnacentral:rRNA from 1 species
UACGUAGGGUGCAAGCGUUGUCCGGAAUUAUUGGGCGUAAAGAGCUCGUAGGCGGUUUGUCGCGUCUGCUGUGAAAACUCAGGGCUUAACCCUGAGCUUGCAGUGGGUACGGGCAGACUAGAGUGCGGUAGGGGAGACUGGAAUUCCUGGUGUAGCGGUGAAAUGCGCAGAUAUCAGGAGGAACACCGGUGGCGAAGGCGCCGCUCUGGGCCGAAACUGACGCUGAGGAGCGAAAGCGUGGGGAGCGAACAGG